rnacentral:rRNA from 1 species
AGCCUGGUAUGAUUUAGCUGGAAUUAUAGUAGACCAAGUUGGGAAGCUUGACGAUAGUGGGUGAUAGUCCCGUAUACGAAAUAAUCACAGUGGAACUAAGCAUACGAACCAGUAGGACGGGGCACGUGGAACCUUGUCUGAAUAUGGGGGGACCAUCCUCCAAGGCUAAAUACUCCUGAAUGCCCGAUAGUGAACUAGUACCGUGAGGGAAAGGUGAAAAGAACCCUUAUCAAGGGAGUGAAAUAGAA